rnacentral:rRNA from 1 species
ACGGGAGGCAGCAGUAGGGAAUAUUGCACAAUGGGGGGAACCCUGAUGCAGCAACGCCACGUGUGGGAAGAAGCAUUUCGGUGUGUAAACCACUGUCGUGAGGGAAUAAUGCUAUUUCUCGGAAUAGUUGAAUGUACCUCGAAAGGAAGCACCGGCAAACUUCGUGCCAGCAGCCGCGGUAAUACGAGGGGAGCAAGCGUUGUUCGGAAUCACUGGGCGUAAAGGGAGCGCAGGCGGAAGUGCAAGCGGACUGUACAAUCCCGGGGCCCAACCCCGGACCUGCAGUCCGGACUGCAUUUCUUGGAUAGGUCAGGGGCAAGCGGAAUUCCUGGUGUAGCGGUGGAAUGCGUAGAGAUCAGGAAGAACACCGAUUGCGAAGGCAGCUUGCUGGGGACUUAUCGACGCUCAUGCUCGAAAGUGCGGGUAGCAAACAGGAUUAGAUACCCUGGUA